CACAGUACUGCUGCUGUUAAGGAGUUGGACCUGCUGUCCCUCAGUACCUACCAAACGUUUGGGAGGCUGUCUGACUAAAAGGACCAGCUCCCAAGUUCAAGAGCAUUUUAGCUGCUCAUCUGCAAUAAAACUCCUUAGAGGAAAAGGGAAACUUUGAGCCAUGCUCAUUUCUCCUGUGACUAAAUAUCUUGGUUGUCUUUAGAAACUUCUUGGGAGGAAAAAGGGAAAGGCAGUUUUCUUUACAGGCAUGUCAGAAUACCUGCCCAGCACCUUCGAAACCUGAAUUAAAGAUGCAUGACAGGCCAUGAAUGUUUUGGAAGGGAAGGAGACAGAAGUGUAUAGAAAGGAAAGAAGAUAUAUCCAAGUAAUAUGCAUGUUACUUUGAAGUUGUUGUAACUAGUGAAAGGGUGCUGACUGACUUUUAAUGAUAUCGGAAGUCCUGUAAGCCAAUUUAGCCUGCUUUCUAUACAGUUGAAAUGCUCUCAGCCACUUUUCCCUCUAUUACAGGAGAAGGCUAUUGGUCGCAUUCAAGAUCAUGGCUAUUCUGUACUGGAUUCCCCCAAGGCAAACCAGUCAUUUUCAAAAGUGGAUAAGCCACUGACUAAAGAACAAGAGGAAGACAAAGUGUCCAAAAAGGGCAACAGGAAAGCCAAACAAACAUCUGAAAAGCCUCCACAUCGCAGAGCUGAGGGCAGAAGCAAACAGAGAAGUAGCUCAAUAACUAUUAAGGAGAGCAAGGAUGUCAGUCUGCACACAAGGCUUGUGAAAAAGGGGGAUUAAUCCCUCUCCAAAAAGCACUGAGUCCGAGAUGGGCAUAGAAAAGGCAGCAGUGAGGACAUCCUAAGGAA
rnacentral:lncRNA from 1 species